rnacentral:RNase_P_RNA from 1 species
GGAGUCGGCCAGGCAAUCGCUGUUUUUCGAAGCAGAGGAAAGUCCGGGCUCCUUCGGACAGGGCGCCAGGUAACGCCUGGAGGGUGCGAGCCCAUGGAAAGUGCCACAGAAAAUAUACCGCCGGGUGCAAACCCGGUAAGGGUGAAAAGGUGCGGUAAGAGCGCACCGCGCGGCUGGUAACAGUCCGCGGCACGGUAAACCCCGCCCGGAGCAAGACCAAAUAGGGGAGUGCGCGGCUUCACUGCCGCACCGCCGGUCCCGAGCGGACUCCCGGGUAGGUUGCUUGAGGCGGCCGGUGACGGCCGUCCCAGAUGAAUGAUUGCCCUCGACAGAACCCGGCUUAUUGCCGGCUCCGGCU